AAGAACCGGAUCAUAUUGGCGAUCUACAAGCAUGAAACUUUCUCAUUACAUUUUUGACAUUGUAGAAAGAAACAGACUUUGCAGUAUAGAGCACAUAGAGAUAGGCCUCAUUCUAUUUCAUGUUUACAAAUGAUAUGUGUCAAAAGGCUGAUACAAAGUAGCCUAACCUUAUGUUUCUGACACAGUUGGAUCCAAUAAUAUACUAAUUGCUGGGAAAAAGAUAGCAAAACUACCCUACAUAAUGGUGACUUUGAUCCAUGAUGAAAAGGGUGCGUGGAAGCAAGUAAGAUAGUCAAUAAUGGCAUUAAACAUAAGGGGCUCAAUAAAGUGGAGGAGUACAAGUCAUGAAUCCUUUGAUUACGACUUAAACAAGACAGUACAGACAUAGCAGUUAAGAUGAGUAACAUUACAAGUAAACUGGAUUU